GUAAGUGCAGACAAAUGGAAAGAUGUAAAUAAAUUCAUGCUAAAAAAGAGCACAUCACUGCUGAGCAUAAGCACUAUUAACCACUAGCUGCUAUAUCAUACUGCAGCUACAGGUGGGUGGUGGCCAAAGCACAGUCCCACAUAAACAGUCCAAAAGUACAGCCCUCUUCUCCCCAGAAACUAUCUUGCCUUGCAGCUCCUCUCUGAAAAGCUUCCAUAUCACUCCCUGAAAUCCCAGGAACAAUGAAAGAAAAGUAAGGAAGGCAGUGUGCAGAGGAAGGCAGAGAAGCAUGGUCCAGUACUCAGAUUAUCAUGGCACAGGGCAGAUUUGAGAUGCUCCUUCAGGGUGGGGAUACAGCUCCAUUCCUUCCUCCUCUUACAGAGUGCGCAUCUAAUCAUGGCAGGGCGUUGAACUCCAUUUGCACGGCUGACAAUGGGAUCUGGCAGCAGUUCAAAGGCAUUUCUAGCGAAGUGACUGAACAAGCUCACUGCCGGCGCAGGCAGCCAGGGAUGCAGAGCACCCGCUUUCCUCCCCUUCGCUCUCCAGGCUUCAGGGGCAGGUGCUGCACCACGGGCAGCCAGUUCUCCUUUUGUUCCAGUGGCAAGAGGAUCAAGGAGGAAACCAAAAAGGUACCGCCACAGAGAACAGCAGCACCUAAACCCACAUCAAUAAGAAUGUCACAGUUACAUUGACCAGCUAGCUGCAGUAAGUGCAGUAAGCUCCGUCCCAAAAGUAUUUUCUACUGGCUCAUUGCUCCAACUGGACAGGAACAAGCCCCGGAAGCUAAGAGCUACUGUUGAUAAGGGAAGCACUUUGAACCUUGAUGGACAGAUACUCUGAUCCACUAUGGGCAAUGGAGAAGACAUACCAGUAGCAGUUUCUUCUGCAGGAAAAACAUGUUAUAAAUUAUAUCACUGUAGCUACAGUGAUAAAAAGUCUUAUGAAGUGUGCCACACAAAUGCAGAACAAAGAAGAGCUUAUAGUUUAAGGUUAAGAAAAGAGACAUCAGAAAGAUGUAUCGGCAAAGCUGCAACAGAGGGUAAGACAACAGUAAUCAACAAAACUGGUCUAACCUUUUUAAAAUCAAAGGAGUUUUGUAGGUAUUUUAAACAUUUCUAGAGACCUUCCUAAAUAUGAGGGGCAGAAUGAGAGGAUGAUAGUUGGACAAUUUAUGAAGUGCAAAGUGGAAGCUGUUAUCAUUGACCUGAGAUAAAAGAAGCUAUACACUGCCACAAAAAAGAAGACACAUUACUUAGUAUUUUGACAAGAUCUUAUGCUUGCUGGUAUAUAAACAGAUCCCAUCACUUCAGGAUCCCUUUCAUUCCAAGAACCCAUAUCAGUGACAGAUAGUAACCACCACCAACAGCAUCACUGCCGCCUCCCAU